GUCGAACGCACCGCAAGGUGAGUGGCAGACGGGUGAGUAACGCGUGGGAACCUUCCCUGUGGUACGGAAUAACUUCGGGAAACCGAAGCUAAUACCGUAUAUCUCCUCCGGGAGAAAGAUUUAUCGCCAUAGGAUGGGCCCGCGUUGGAUUAGCUAGUUGGUAGGGUAAUGGCCUACCAAGGCAACGAUCCAUAGCUGGUCUGAGAGGAUGAUCAGCCACACUGGGACUGAGACACGGCCCAGACUCCUACGGGAGGCAGCAGUGGGGAAUAUUGGACAAUGGGCGCAAGCCUGAUCCAGCCAUGCCGCGUGAGUGAAGAAGGCCUUAGGGUUGUAAAGCUCUUUUGGCGGGGACGAUAAUGACGGUACCCGCAGAAUAAGCCCCGGCUAACUUCGUGCCAGCAGCCGCGGUAAUACGAAGGGGGCUAGCGUUGUUCGGAAUCACUGGGCGUAAAGCGCACGCAGGCGGAUUGAUAAGUCAGGGGUGAAAUCCCGGGGCUCAACCUCGGAAUUGCCUUUGAUACUGUCUAUCUUGAGUUCGGGAGAGGUUGGCGGAAUUCCUAGUGUAGAGGUGAAAUUCGUAGAUAUUA
rnacentral:rRNA from 1 species